GACAGGGGAUGCAAGCGUUAUCCGGAAUGAUUGGGCGUAAAGCGUCUGUAGGUGGCUUUUUAAGUCUGCCGUCAAAUCCCAGGGCUCAACCCUGGCCAGGCGGUGGAGACUACUAAGCUGGAGUACGGUAGGGGCAGAGGGAAUUUCCGGUGGAGCGGUGAAAUGCGUAGAGAUCGGAUAGAACACCAAGGGCGAAGGCACUCUGCUGGGCCGAAACUGACAAUGAGAGACGAGAGCUAGGGGAGCAAAUGGG
rnacentral:rRNA from 1 species